AGCCAGAAUGAAGACUGGAAACUAUGCUAAAAAUUAAUAAUAAAUUCCAAUCAAUAAAGGUCAUAGCCCUGCCUAAUUAAGGGAGCACUAUUUGACAUAAAUGAAGACAAGGACAAUGAUCAAGUCUGAAAGAGAGUUAAUUGAAAAGGAGUAGCCUGCUCUGAUCUCCAGAUUGAGCUUCUGAAGAGGAUUUGGGGAAGCCAGAAGGAGCACAUCCCAGGUAGUGU
rnacentral:lncRNA from 1 species